rnacentral:rRNA from 1 species
UGCGGUAGAGGUAAAGGGAAUUCCUGGUGUAGCGGUGAAAUGCGUAGAUAUCAGGAAGAACACCGGUGGCGUAAGCGCUUUACUGGGCCGUUAUUGACGCUGAGGAACGAAAGCCGGGGGAGCAAAUGGGAUUAGAUACCCCAGUAGUCCCGGCCGUAAACGAUGGAUACUAGGUGUUGCGGGUAUCGACCCCUGCAGUGCCGUAGCUAACGCGAUAAGUAUCCCGCCUGGGGAGUACGCACGCAAGUGUGAAACUCAAAGGAAUUGACGGGGACCCGCACAAGCGGAGGAACAUGUGGUUUAAUUCGAAGCAACGCGAAGAACCUUACCAGGGCUUGAAAUCGAUGGAAUCCUGAUGAAAGUCGGGAGUGCCCUUCGGGGAACCAGAAGACAGGUGGUGCACGGUUGUCGUCAGCUCGUGUCGUGAGAUGUUGGGUUAAGUCCCGCAACGAGCGCAACCCUCGUUAUUAGUUGCAUAUAUCGGUAUACUGAUAUAGUGCUCUCUGAUAAGACUGCCGGUGAUAAACCGGAGGAAGGUGGGGACGACGUCAAAUCAUCAUGCCCCUUAUGCUCUGGGCUACACACGUGUUACAAUGGCUAGGACAACGAGCAGCCAACUUGCGAGAGUGAGCAAAUCUCUUAAACCUAGUCUCAGUUCGGAUCGUAGUCUGCAACUCGACUACGUGAAGUCGGAUUCGCUAGUAAACGCAGAUCAGCACGCUGCGUUGAAUACGUUCCCGGGUCUUGUACACACCGCCCGUCACACCAUGGAAGUCGACCACGCCCGAAGCGCGUGAGCUAACCUUUUAGGAGGCAGCGCUCUAAGGCAGGGUUGGUGACUGGGGUGAAGUCGUAACAAGGUAGCCGUACCGGAAGGUGUGGCUG